CUUUUUAUAGGCAGAGGAAGCAACAGAUUGAUAGCGACGUUUGUAACCGCCUAGUAGUGAGCCGCACAGGGCCAGGAGGAAUUUAUCAUGAAGAGUAAUGGGGUGGAGUCGUGGCUAGUUGUGGCCGUCACCAUGGCUCACCAUAUGGAAUCAGUUGCAAAGAGUGGAGCGGCGUCCGUUGUCGCGACUCGUCAGGGAGUGGUGGAGCCGCGUGGGAUCCAU
rnacentral:lncRNA from 1 species